UACGUAGGGUGCGAGCGUUGUCCGGAAUUACUGGGCGUAAAGAGCUCGUAGGUGGUUUGUCGCGUUGUCCGUGAAAACUCACAACUCAAUUGUGGGCGUGCGGGCGAUACGGGCAGACUGGAGUACUGCAGGGGAGACUGGAAUUCCUGGUGUAGCGGUGGAAUGCGCAGAUAUCAGGAGGAACACCGGUGGCGAAGGCGACUCUUUGGCCUGUAACUGACGCUGAGGCGCGAAAGCGUGGGGAGCAAACAGG
rnacentral:rRNA from 1 species